rnacentral:rRNA from 1 species
UCCGGGCGGCCUCCAUAAUAAUGCAAGUCGAGCGGACAGAUGGGAGCUUGCUCCCUGAUGUUAGCGGCGGACGGGUGAGUAACACGUGGGUAACCUGCCUGUAAGACUGGGAUAACUCCGGGAAACCGGGGCUAAUACCGGAUGCUUGUUUGAACCGCAUGGUUCAAACAUAAAAGGUGGCUUCGGCUACCACUUACAGAUGGACCCGCGGCGCAUUAGCUAGUUGGUGAGGUAACGGCUCACCAAGGCAACGAUGCGUAGCCGACCUGAGAGGGUGAUCGGCCACACUGGGACUGAGACACGGCCCAGACUCCUACGGGAGGCAGCAGUAGGGAAUCUUCCGCAAUGGACGAAAGUCUGACGGAGCAACGCCGCGUGAGUGAUGAAGGUUUUCGGAUCGUAAAGCUCUGUUGUUAGGGAAGAACAAGUACCGUUCGAAUAGGGCGGUACCUUGACGGUACCUAACCAGAAAGCCACGGCUAACUACGUGCCAGCAGCCGCGGUAAUACGUAGGUGGCAAGCGUUGUCCGGAAUUAUUGGGCGUAAAGGGCUCGCAGGCGGUUUCUUAAGUCUGAUGUGAAAGCCCCCGGCUCAACCGGGGAGGGUCAUUGGAAACUGGGGAACUUGAGUGCAGAAGAGGAGAGUGGAUUCCACGUGUAGCGGUGAAAUGCGUAGAGAUGUGCAGGAACACCUUUGGCGAAAGCGACUCUCUGGUCUG